rnacentral:lncRNA from 12 species
GAGCUCACACGCGUUUCCGGGCCGCGGGUGGCCUGCCGUGUCCCCCCCACCCCCCACCCCGCGUGGGUCCCUGAGCGAUUCCGAGGGUCCGUCCUGCUCCUCGGGGCGCAGAGGGACCGGGGCGCCUUCAGGUCAGUCCCGCGCACCCGCAGCACAACGUGGGCCUCGUUCGCAGACAGAGAGCAAUGCCUGUGCUCAAGACCAAGAACACAUGAAAGGGGAUGAGGCUAAGGAUGGAGACAGUUUCUGGGCGUUCACAGCCUGAAAAAUUGGUCGACUCUACAUUGUUGAAACAUCAUGAGAAAGAAAAUUAUUGCUUGAAAGCAAUUUCCUCCUGGAAUCUAUCCCCUGCAGAUUUGUUUUAAGGAAGCUUCUGGAUUAGCUGCCAAAGACUGUGAGGUCUUUCUGUCUUAAAGUCUUAAAAAAAAAAAUUAUUUGAAGUACUGUAAACCAACAUGAAUAAAAUGAUACGGGAUCGAGAAAUAAUUUGUGUU